rnacentral:rRNA from 1 species
CGGGGGGGGGGGCAAGCGUUGUUCGGAAUUACUGGGCGUAAAGGGCGCGCAGGGCGGCCCGGCAACGUCCUACGUGAAAUCCCACAGCUUAACUGUGGAACUGCGUGGGAUACUGCCCAGGCUUGAGUCCGGGAGAGGAGAGUGGAAUUCCCAGUGUAGCGGUGAAAUGCGUAGAUAUUGGGAGGAACACCGGUGGCGAAGGCGGCUCUCUGGACCGGUACUGACGCUGAGGCGCGAAAGCUAGGGGAGCAAACGGGAUUAGAUACCCCGGUAGUCCUAGCCGUAAACUUUGAGCACUUGGUGUGGCGGGUAUCGACCCCUGCCGUGCCGAAGCUAACGCAUUAAGUGCUCCGCCUGGGGAGUACGGUCGCAAGGCUG